UGAGUAACCUGCCCUUAACUCUGGGAUAAGCCUGGGAAACUGGGUCUAAUACCGGAUAUGACUCCUCAUCGCAUGGUGGGGGGUGGAAAGCUUUAUUGUGGUUUUGGAUGGACUCGCGGCCUAUCAGCUUGUUGGUGAGGUAAUGGCUCACCAAGGCGACGACGGGUAGCCGGCCUGAGGGGGUGACCGGCCACACUGGGACUGAGACACGGCCCAGACUCCUACGGGAGGCAG
rnacentral:rRNA from 1 species